AACGAACGCUGGCGGCAUGCCUUACACAUGCAAGUCGAACGGCAGCGCGGGGCUACCUGGCGGCGAGUGGCGAACGGGUGAGUAAUAUAUCGGAACGUACCCUGGAGUGGGGGAUAACGUAGCGAAAGUUACGCUAAUACCGCAUACGAUCUAAGGAUGAAAGUGGGGGAUCGCAAGACCUCAUGCUCCUGGAGCGGCCGAUAUCUGAUUAGCUAGUUGGUGGGGGUAAAGGCCUACCAAGGCAUCGAUCAGUAGCUGGUCUGAGAGGACGACCAGCCACACUGGGACUGAGACACGGCCCAGACUCCUACGGGAGGCAGCAGUGGGGAAUUUUGGACAAUGGGGGGCAACCCUGAUCCAGCAAUGCCGCGUGAGUGAAGAAGGCCUUCGGGGUUUGGGUUAAAAGACGUUCCUUUUUGUUC
rnacentral:rRNA from 1 species